rnacentral:misc_RNA from 1 species
UAAUCGAAUGAGCGCAUUCACGUCGUAAAAUCUGCCAUUUUAAUAAGAUUUACUUAGGAAAACAACCUUUUCUUUAAUUGCAUUAUUUAUUAUCAAAGUUUCGAUAAACUGUUAAGGUCAAUUUUUGUGUAAUUUUUUUUUCUUCAAUUUAUUAUUAACAAAAAUGCUCGGAAAUGGUGAUGUAGAUGAAAUAAAAAAACCAACAGCACUCGAGGAUAUUGCAAGAGCUGACAAAAUCAAGGAGGAAGCUAAUGAAUUUUUUAAAAUACAAGCUUACGACAAAGCCAUAGAAUUAUAUACAGAAGCCAUCAAAUUAAAUCCUAAUGUAGCACUUUAUUACGGCAACAGGAGUUUUGCUUACUUAAAGACAGAAUGUUUUGGAUACGCGUUAAAGGAUGCAUCCAAGGCUAUCGAAUUAGAUCCUAAUUAUCUCAAAGGAUAUUAUCGUAGAGCGACAGCUUACAUGUCGCUGGGUAAAUAUAAAUUAGCUCUUAAGGAUUACAAAACUGUAUGUAACGCCAGUCCAAAUAACAAAGAUGCUUCUGUAAGAUAUAAAGAAUGUUAUAAGACAUUAAAAAUAAAAUCUUUUGAAGAAGCUAUUCGCGUACAAGAAAAUGAGGAAAGUUUAGCUUUAUUGAUGGAUUUAAACAUGCGAGGUGUCAAAGAUGAUGAAGGAGGGCCAAGUUUAGAAGAUGGCAAAGUAACGCUUAAAUUUAUGCAAGAUUUGUUAGAAUGGUAUAAAAAACAAAAGAAAUUAUUUAUCAAACAUGCCUAUCAAAUUUUAGUAGACGUUAAAGCAUUGUUUAAGGCGCAACCAAGUUUAAUAGAUAUUACUAUACCAGAAGAUAGUAAGUUUACAAUUUGUGGUGAUAUACAUGGACAGUAUUAUGAUCUAUUAAACAUAUUUGAAUUAAAUGGACUACCAUCGGAAACUAACCCCUACUUAUUUAAUGGAGAUUUCGUAGACAGAGGUUCUUUUUCCGUUGAAUGCAUAUUCACUUUAUUUGGUUUUAAAUUAUUAUAUCCAAAUCAUUUUUUUAUGUCUAGAGGUAAUCACGAAUCUGCAACCAUGAAUCAAAUGUAUGGAUUUGAUGGAGAAGUUAGAGCCAAAUACUGUCCUGCAAUGGCAGAAGUGUUCACAGACGUAUAUAAUUGGCUUCCUCUUGCGCAUUGUCUUAAUAAAAGAGUACUUGUAAUGCACGGUGGGUUAUUUUCAAGAGAUAAUGUAACUUUAGAAGAAAUUAAACAAAUAGAUAGAAACAGACAACCACCGGAGGAAGGUGUAAUGUGUGAAUUAUUGUGGUCCGAUCCGCAACCACAAAUGGGUAGGGCAGCUAGUAAAAGAGGUGUAGGUGUACAAUUUGGUCCUGACGUAACACAAAAUUUUCUUGCCUUAAAUAAUCUUGAUUAUAUUGUGAGAAGUCAUGAAGUUAAAAAUGAAGGUUUUGAAAUUGGACACGAUGGAAAAUGUAUUACUGUAUUUUCUGCUCCAAAUUAUUGUGACACAAUGGAUAAUAGAGGUGCCUUCAUCACGCUUAAUGGAAAAGACAUGACACCAUGCUUCACCUCAUACGAAGCAGUGCCUCAUCCAAAUGUAAAACCAAUGAUAUACGCUAACCCGUUAAUAAAAUUCAUGUGCUAGUGGAACACCUUAUGUAUAUUAUUGAAAAACAAAUAAAUAAAUAAUGAUAACUAAGUACGAGUAGCCCAAUCAAAGAGCUAGAUAAUUUUCUGUAUCAUAGUUAUAUGCAAAGAAUGCAUAUUAUUGGUGGGUACAAAACUGAAAAAUAGUUUGCUUGUUUAAUCAACUCGCAAACAUAAUUAUCAAGUUCUCUCUUGUCUAUGAUAAGAUCCAACGCCUCAUUAAUACAUCAGCAAUUUGUGGUUUGCUUGUAAAGCAAAAUAAUACACGAAAGGAAUAUUUCUAUUUUGUACCCUUGAUGGAACCACCAUAUUCAUUAAAGAUUAAACAAUUUUUGCGCACAAAUGAAAAAUAUGGUCUAUGAAUAUGAUUUCUAAUAAAAAGGAUUAUGUUAGUAUAUUUGUAUACAAAAAAAAAAAAGAAAAAAGACAAGUUCCAAAGGUAAGACUCUCUGUUACUUGUUAUUUUAUUCAUUUAUUCUUUACUGGAUAAUGGUGGUUUCUUUUAUAAGACAGUGAAUAUUACAUAUAUAUAUAUAUAUAUAAAAGAAAAAAAAAAAAUCUAAUAGAUAUGCGAUUUGGCAUGACUAUGUAGUACAAUAUUUCAACCAAUCACUUUUUGUCACAUCAUUUGUGGCUACUUUUUUGCAAACUUAUCGUGAUUGGUAGAAUUCAUUUAACCGAAUAUUUUGUUUUGUUAAUAAUAAAUAAUGCUUAUAAUGUA